GUUGAAAAUUGUCGAGUCGUGUCGUCGAGUCGUAAAAUCGCAUAUCUUCGAUUCGAUGUGUCGCGUACGAAAGUGUCGAUUCCAAGAAAACACUAACAGAGUGAACAAGCAAGUAAGCAAGAAAAA
rnacentral:lncRNA from 1 species